rnacentral:siRNA from 1 species
ACACCCAAUUGGCAACGGCGCCA